rnacentral:rRNA from 1 species
CCUACGGGAGGCAGCAGUGGGGAAUAUUGGACAAUGGGCGAAAGCCUGAUCCAGCCAUGCCGCGUGUGUGAAGAAGGCCUUCGGGUUGUAAAGCACUUUCAGUGGGGAAGAAAGCCUUGGGGCUAAUACCCUCGAGGAAGGACAUCACCCACAGAAGAAGCACCGGCUAACUCCGUGCCAGCAGCCGCGGUAAUACGGAGGGUGCGAGCGUUAAUCGGAAUUACUGGGCGUAAAGCGCGCGUAGGCGGUCUGAUAAGCCGGUUGUGAAAGCCCCGGGCUCAACCUGGGAACGGCAUCCGGAACUGUCAGGCUAGAGUGCAGGAGAGGAAGGGAGAAUUCCCGGUGUAGCGGUGAAAUGCGUAGAGAUCGGGAGGAAUACCAGUGGCGAAGGCGGCCUUCUGGACUGACACUGACGCUGAGGUGCGAAAGCGUGGGUAGCAAACAGGAUUAGAUACCUAGUAGUC